AUAUGUAGAAUGUAACAAACAAACAUUACAUGCUUUGAUACUUAUCUUUUUGGUUCCUUGCGGGGUCAAAAGCAGUGGUCGCAAUGUUACUACGAGCCACUAGGCUGCGCUAGAGGGGAGUGAUGACUGGAUAUUUUCCAGGUCACCACAGAGCAAGUGAGUUGUGUUUGGUAGAGGGAACAGCAUGGUGAACUAAAUCUACCGUCUCACUCUGCUUCUGUCAUCUUUAAGAACAUUAUUGUUGCUGCUCAGAUGCAUGGACCUGUUGUUCUGGAGGUUCUCAGAUGUGGUGAUUGUUGAUACAUACAUUCAAUGGACUACAUGGUGAUCGUUGAUUGGGUUUCAGCAAACUUUAUGGUCAUCAAUGGUUUUUCCAGAAAGUGUGGAACAUCGGCGGGUGAACUAUAUUCUUAGACGUGGAAUGACACGGUCAGUGACUCCGAAUUUCUCAUUGCUCUAUCCUAUUUCCCAGAGAGAGGUUGUAGAUAUCAUUGCAUUGCACUCAAUCCAUCUAAAAAUAGUCACCUCACCAUCUAUAUCAAUUAAACAGAUUGUGUUCUUUC